UUUCCGACUUUUUAGCUGGGCCUGCCAGUAUGACAUUUGAGCAUGAUGGACUUGGUACCUUGCUGGCCCUGCCUUGCACCUGGAUCCUAGGUAGCUGACCUGAGAACCUUUGGAGCUGCUGUGGUGGGAGAUGUCAUCAGCCGCCAGUCAGCCUGGAAUGACCCCCUUCUACCCUGAGGAUCCUGUUCUCUCUUUCCUUGUCCACCCACUGGUCAAGUUGACCUAGGAUAAAAGCCCGCUGGACCACCUCAAUGACUUUUUAGAAAUUCAACCCAUUCCUGUAACUUCCUAGCCUCUCUUUUAUCAUUGUAUGUAAAGUCUACCUCACAAUAUGUUGAAACAAAUAUAUUCCAUAUCUAGUCCACAUUGGAUUGAUUGUGUAUGAUGUAAGAGCACUUUGCUACAUCUAGAACAAGUGAGCAAGAGAUAGUCUUUGACCUUGGGGACAGGGUCCAGGGCCUGCCUCUAGGAGGUGUUUACAGAAUCCGUGUUUGCCUCCCCUCCCAAGUGAGACUGGAUUUAUGUUGAAAUUUGCUUUAUUUAUUGGC